rnacentral:rRNA from 1 species
UACGUAGGCAGCGAGCGUUGUUCGGAGUUACUGGGCGUAAAGGGUGUGUAGGCGGUUCUUUAAGUUUGGUGUGAAAUCUCCCGGCUCAACUGGGAGGGUGCGCCGAAAACUGGGGGGCUAGAGUACUGGAUGGGAGAGUGGAAUUCCUGGUGUAGCGGUGAAAUGCGUAGAUAUCAGGAGGAACACCUGUGGUGUAGACGGCUCUCUGGACAGUAACUGACGCUGAGACACGAAAGCGUGGGUAGCAAACAGG